rnacentral:lncRNA from 1 species
GAUGAUCCAGCAAUUUUGCUUCUUGGGUAUAGAUACCCAAAAGAAUUGAAAGCAGGGACUCAAACAGAUACUUGUACACCCAUGUUCAUAGCAACAAUAUUCCCAACAGCCAAAAGGUGACAACCCAAAUGUCCAUCUAGAGAUGACAUAUAUAUAUAUGCCACAUUUUGUAUAUGUAUGUUUUAUAUAUAUAUAUAUGCAUAACAUUGCAUUUAUACACACACACACACUGGAUUAUUCAGCCUUAAAAAGGAAUGAAUAAUGACUGCUACAACAUGGGUGAGCCUUGAAAACGUAAGUGAAAUAAGCCAGGUACAACGACAUGAUUCCACUCUUAGGAGGUAGUGUAGUUAAAUUCAGAGACUCUUAGGGAUUACCAGGGGCUAGGGAGAGGAGAGAAUGGGGAGGUACUAUAUAAUAGGUACAGAAUUUGUUUGAGAUGAUGGAAAUAUUCUGGAAAUAAUAGUUGCACAACUUUGUGCGUGUAAUUAACACCACUGAAUUGUACACUCAUAAUGGCUAAAAGAUUUAUGUAAUGCAUGUUUCUCUACCAUAAAAACGAAAAGCAAAGAGCUCAACAGAUACAAUCUAAGAUCACAACCAAUCACUGGAAAACCUCGUUUUAAUUUUAAUUCCAGCAUCUACAUUGGACAAUUAGCAUUUGUAAAAACCUUUUCAUGCUUUGAGAACUAAAUGAAAAGACACUCAUGUUGAAAGCUUACCAGAUGCUACUUUUCAGUGUAUGUGCAUUUGUUUUAAACUGAAUGCACUAAGUAGCAUUUGCAGGAUGAACAUGGAUAACAAUACUUGAGGGUUAGAAUUCCUCGCUAUCCAACCACACAUUGUAUUAUACAGGCUGGCGACAACAGCAUCCAUUCUCAUUAGGUAUUUGGAAAUUAUUUUAGUGUCUUGCAUUUGGCCUCACUAUCAAUCACCAUCAAUAGAAAAGUUAUUUCAAACUAGCUCAUUCUAAAUAGACAACUAAGUGGUAGCUUCCAUGAUGUCUUAGGUUCUUUGCAGGGUGGAAGAGCAGGGUAAAUGCUCCCUGCACAUAAUAUACUUAACAUAUUUCAAGUAUCAUUUUACUCUUAAUAUGACAAGUGAGAAAAUGCUGAUUUAUUUAUUUCCUCCCCCUUUGUAGGUGGGAAAUAGAAGGCAUUUGAGCUGAGAUAUUACGACGCCAAAACCUUUAUCAGCUUCUCCAAAUAUUAUUUGCACUCUUCCACUUUAUUUAUUUUUCUUUUUAGGGCCGCACGUGUAGCAUAUGAAAAGUGUCCAGCUGCAGCUCCAGCUCUGAUUUGACCUCUAGCCUAGGGAUCCUGGAGACUUCCAUGUGCCUGGAGUGUGGCCCUAAGAAGCAAAAAAAAAAAAAAAAAAAAAAAAAAAAGUUUAAAGAAGGCAGAGCUGACCCCCACAAUGAUGCAAGAAGUGGCUUUCUAGUCACCCACAGGACAUAUGACAAUGUGGAGGGAGUCAGGAAUUUGGUUUGCUCAGAUAGCCAAUUUAACUGUAAAAAAAUAGCUGAAAAGCUAAAUUUAGACAGUCAAGACUCAUUCUGAAAGAAAGCUUGCUCCGGAGGGAAAAAAAUCCUAGCUGUUGUGGUUGAUGAUCCUGUAGAGAGAGGCCAAACCAAAACAGAGUUUCACUGGAACCACCACUUGGGUGGAUAUUCAGGGCAGUCCUACAAUUUUUUUCAUUGGUCUUGGAGGAACAAAAAUGAGCUGAGCUUCCUCAUUUUUCAUCAGCUCUAUAGGUACAAUGAUUUAAGCAGAGUGAAACCUUUAGAGUCGAGUGUGACAAAGUAGAGAGCAUGGGGCUAGUUUAUUGGGAGGAUCCUAGCAAAUCGUUAGCUCCGAAUGAGCAGCUAAACAUGGGAGCAUUUCUCUUAUUUCAAGCUGAGCUCAUUUGAGUAACAAGUAGGUUACCUGCAGGCUGGGAGUUACACUGUCAACAGGGAGCUAGAGCUCAAUGUUACUCUUUGUUUUUUUUCUUACUGCCAUGGCAGGUGGAAGUUCCUGGGCCAGGAUCAAAACCAAGCCACUACAAGGACAACUCCGGAUCCUUAACCUGCUGCAUCAUAAGAGAUCAGUGUUAUGUAUUGUUAUACAGAAUAGAUGAAAAUGGUUUCACUUUAAACGUUUAAAGAAAAUAAUGCAAGGAAAAGUAUUUCAGAUAUGUUUUUGUGUUAACAUUAGCAUUUUAGUUAAGGAGCUAGUUAAAUCAUGUUCCUCCUCAUAAGAAUAUUGAGUCAAGAGUUUAUUUAGGAACUUGGAUCUUUGCUGCCCCAGUUUCCUUACCAGUCUCUAGUAAGAUGCUCUAAUCAGUCAAUAUCUUUAUUGUUGCUGCCCAGAUAAACCAGCAUUACAGACUAUAGAUGACUUAAUCCAGGGCCUUGUGGCAGUGACCUCAGAGAACUAGCAUUGCUGCAGAGGUGCAGAUUUGAUCACUGGCCUGGAGGGUGGAUUCACUCCCUUGGUUUACAAGGCAAAAACUUAGAAUAAUUUUUCAUGUUUUCUUAGUUCCUGUUACUGAAUUUUUACAACUUGCAUUUAAGAUGGUGUUUUGUACUAUGUAAUAAAGUAUAUACGUACUUGACAUCCUAAUAAACCAUACAUU